GCAACAAUAACAGUACUCCUAACAUACCAAGGGACGUCACACUGGAAAAACAAUGCAACCAACGUGUUCUCUCCAGUGGCAAAAUAGACAAUUUUUGAACUUGCACGGCAUCUAAACAAGAACUACAUGAUACACAAUUUUCCAUCAUGCACCUGCUAUCCUGAACGGUAUCCUGAACGGUAUCCUGAACAUCUAAACAAGAACUCACUAGUAGAAAAAGUACUUGCAUUUUUUUCCAUCAUGCACCCAGAGGUUCUGCCUUCUCCCUCGGCCCUGAAACAAGAGCACCAUUAGUUUAGUUUUAAAGAAAUUGAAAAUUCGAACAUGAGACAUAUAGAUAUUCAAAUGAUGAAAGUCACAAAAGUGAGCUAUUUUUGUAUUACUUCAAAUAAUUCAAUAUGAAAAAGACAAAUACACAUAAAUAAUUUUUUGUGCGAUAUUCUGAAGCAGAUGUGAGUUCGACCUUUUAGACAACCUUUUUGCACAAGGAGAUGAUGUUAUUGAACUGGCUAGGUACAUUCAGUUUUACCUAGUAUAGUUGGACUAGUAAUGCAAGCACUGCUUCCAAGGUUUUAUAGAGAUCAGUAGCCAUCCAACUAUGAAAUGCAUGCAAACCCAAUCUGCAUACACUAGCGAACAUUGAAAGAAAGAACCCCUGUUUCUCAACUUUGAACUUUUGUAUGGGUUUUCCCUCAACUUAUUGUAUCCGCGGGUCUGAACUGAUGCAAGUAUAUAAGAAUACCAAACAUUUAUUACCUGAACCAGAAAAGGAUCUAAGCCAGGUUGCCCUGGAACUGCAACUUGUAUCUUUUACUGCUCAUCUUUAACAUUAAGAAAUGUGACGCCCCCGAUUCAAUCGUACACUAAUCAUACACGCAAACAUGUACGAUCAAGAUCAGGGACUCAUGGGAAGAUAUCACAACACAACUCUACAAAUAAAAUAAGUCAUACAAGCAUCAUAAUACAAGCCAGAGGCCUCGAGGGCUCGAAUACAAGUGCUUGAUCAUAGACGAGUCAGCGGAAGCAACAAUAUCUGAUUACAGACAUAAGUUAAACAAGUUGCCAUAAGAUGGCUAGCACAAACUGGGAUACAGAUCGAAAGAGGCGCAGGCCUCCUGCCUGGGAUCCUCCUAAACUACUCCUGGUCGUCGUCAGCGGGCUGCGCGUAGUAGUAGGCACCUCCGGUGUAGUAGUUGUCAUCGACGGUGGCGUCUGACUCCUGGGCUGCGACAUCUGGUUGCGACAACCAGGUAGAAAGGAAAGGGGGGAAAAGGGGGAGAAAGCAACCGUGAGUACUCAUCCAAAGUACUCGCAAGCAAGGAGCUAUACUACAUAUGCAUGGGUAUAUGUGUAAAGGGGCAUAUCAGUGGACUGAACUGCAGAAUCCCAGAAUAAGAGGGGGAUAACUAAUCCUGUCGAAGACUACGCUUCUGGCAGCCUCCGUCUUGCAGCAUAAAGAAGACAGUAGACUGAAGUCCUCUAAGUAGCAUCGCAUAGCAUAAUCCUACCCGGCGAUCCUCUCCUCGUCGCCCUGUUAGAGAGCGAUCACCGGGUUGUAUCUGGCACUUGGAAGGGUGUGUUUUAUUAAGUAUCUGGUUCUAGUUGUCAUAAGGUCAAGGUACAACUCCAAGUCGUCCUGUUACCGAAGAUCAUGGCUAUUCGAAUAGAUUAACUUCCCUUCAGGUGUGCACCACAUAACCCAACACGCUUGAUCCCAUUUGGCAGGACACACUUUUCGGGGUCAUGCCCGGCCGUGGAAGAUCAACACGUCGCAGCCCCACCUAGGCACAAGAGAGAGGUCAGCACGCCGGUCUAAACCUAAGCGCAUAGGGGUUUGGGCCCAUCGCCCUUAGCACACCUCCACGUUGCGAACGCGGCCGGAAGCAGAACUAGCCCCCUUAAUACAAGAGCAGGCUUACGUUCCAAUCUGGCGCGCGCCACUCAGUUGCUGACGUCACGAAGGCUUCGGCUGAUACCACGACGUCGAGUGCCCAUAACUGUUCCCGCGUAGUUGGUUAGUGCGUAUAGGCUAGUAGCCAGACUCAGUUCAAAUACCAAGAUCUCGUUAAGCGUGUUAAGUAUCCACGAACGCCGAACAGGGCCAGGCCCACCUGUCUCCUAGGUGGUCUCAACCUGCCCUGUCGCUCCGCCACAAAGUAACAGUCGGGGGCAGUCGGGAACCCAGGCCACCUCUACCAGGAUGGAGCCACCUGUCCUUUCAGCCCCCUCAUCAGAAUCACUUGCGGGUACUCAAUGAGCUGACCCGACUUUAGUCACCAUCUGUAUAGUAUGUAUGUAUGUAUAGUAUAUACCCGUGAUCACCUCCCGAGUGAUCACGGUCCAAUAGUAUAGCAAGGCAGACUGACAAGAAUGUAGGGCCAAUGAUGAUAAAUUAGCAUCCUAUACUAAGUAUUUAGGAUUGUCGGUAAGGUAUCAACAAAUGUAGCAACAAUGUCAGGCUAUGCAUCAGAAUAGGAUUAACGGAAAGCAGUAACAUGCUACACUACUCUAAUGCAAGCAGUAUAGAGGAGAAUCGGCGAUAUCUGGUGAUCAAGGGGGGGGCUUGCCUGGUUGCUCUGGCAAAGAGGGGCGUCAACUCCGUAGUCGAACUGGGGGGUCGUCAACAGUCUCGGGGUCUACCGGAAAGAAGUAACGGAGGGGGAACACAAUAAAUAACUGAGCAAUCAAAGUAUCACAAAGUGUAGCAUGGUAAUACGCAGUGCUAGAGGUGACCUAACGCAGUAGUAGGUGAUACCGGCGAAGGGGGGAAACAUCCGGGAAAGUAUCCCCGGAGUUUCGCGUUUUCAGACAGAUGAACUGGAGGGGAAAGUUGCAUGUUUGCUAUGCUAGGGAGGUGUGGCGGACGAACAGGCUGCGCAACCGGAUUCGUCUCAUCGUUUUGAGCAACUUUCAUGUACAAAGUUUUUCCAUCCGAGCUACGAAUUAUUUUAUAUUAAUUUUUAAAGAUUUUAAAUCAUUUUCUAGAAAUUAGCAUAAUUAAAUUAAUUCAGAAAUUGCAAUUAUUAUGUCAGCAGUACCAAAGGUUGACUAGGUCAACCCUGCAGGUGGGUCCCGUUCGCCAUAGUCUCAGGUUAAUUAAACAUGGUUAAUUUAUUUAACUAAAUGAUUAGGUUAAAUAAACAUCAUUAAUUAAGUUAUUUAUUUAUUUAUUUAUUUAACUAAUUGUUAUUAUUAUUAUUCUUUUUAACGUUCCACCGGGGCGGGCCCCACAUGCCAGUGGCCCAGGAGGCCACUGGAGCGGGCGCUAGCGGGCGCGCGGGUGCGGGCGCCCGGACUGGGCGCGGCCAGUCGGUGCCAUGCCAAGGGGAGGACGCCGGCGUGGCGCCAGCCGGCGCCGGCGAGGCCACGGCGGGGCGAGGAUGUGGUGAUGCAGGCAGUGUUGGGGCGCUAGGACGGUACGUCAGGGCGGACGAGGCAAGGCCGGGGCGAGGUCGUGGGUUCAGGGGAGGGGGAGCUGCGAGGGAGGCCGGUGGCCGCGGCGAACUAGGCAGGACGCGGGGGUCUCCGAGCGGCGCAGUGGGAUGAGGCCACCAUGGCGAUGGAGCGCACGCAGCCCGACUAGUCCCUGGCGUCGGCUGGGGCGGAGGAGGGCGCCGGCCAGGGCAAGGGACAGAGGCGGAGCGGUAUGGCGGACAAGCGCGGGCGCGCACUGGGCGGCCAAGACGCGUGGGGGUGCGCGGUCGAGCGCGACGACGGCGCGGGCACAACCCGCUGAGGCACGGCGAGCGCGGGAUAGAGGGGAGGGGAGGAGCGAGGCGAAGGCUCACUGGGGCGGUAGGGGUUCGGGCAGCGAGGGGUCGAGGAGGACGUCGGGGACGACGGUGAUGAAGAGGAGGCAGGCCGUUGAGGAGGAGGAGGCAGUCCGGCGGGGGAAGCUCUGGCGACAAGGUGGCCGCGGCCACGGCCGACGCGGUUCGCCUAGGGGUCGGGGCGACGNNNNNNNNNNNNNNNNNNNNNNNNNNNNNNNNNNNNNNNNNNNNNNNNNNNNNNNNNNNNNNNNNNNNNNNNNNNNNNNNNNNNNNNNNNNNNNNNNNNNNNNNNNNNNNNNNNNNNNNNNNNNNNNNNNNNNNNNNNNNNNNNNNNNNNNNNNNNNNNNNNNNNNNNNNNNNNNNNNNNNNNAUCGUGCGGGGGAAGUGAGAGGUGUCGGUGGGGGUUACGGGUUAGGGUUCGGUGGUGGGGAGGCCUAAGUAGGCCAGAGGCGUGGGCCGGCCUGGCUGGGCCAUGGCCCAGUUGGGCCAAUCGGUCCAGUGGGGGAGGGGGUAUUUGUCUCCCCCCCAUUUUAUUUAUUUUUGGAUUUUGUUUUUAUUUCUUUUCUUUUAGUUAGUUUUCUUUUCUGUUUUGUCUUUGUUUCCUAUUGUUUUAUUUUUUUUGUAAAAUAUAUACUUGGCAUCUAAUUUAGUAAUUCAAUUUAGGCCAUUGUCACAAAAAGUCUAGUCCUCAAAUAAUUUAGUUUGACAUUUUAUUAAUUACAAAAGGUAUUUAAAUAACUAUUUAUGCUACUGUUUUAUUCAUCUGAUUGUAUUUAAACAUUUUAUAAAAGUGGGGUUUCUUCACCACAAUCACCUUUGCAUUAUUUAGGACGACUCGAACAUUUUAGUUUUAAAGUUUGAAAACUUUUGUUGUUUGUCUUUAUUUCAAAUUUGAAUUUGAAUCGUUUCUGAACCAUCGCGAGAUUAACUAAAGUGACAGCGGUGACAUGGCAUCAUUAGGAGAGGGUUACUGUAGCUUAAUUAUCCGGGCGUCACAAUUCUCCUCCACUACAAGAAAUCUCGUCCCGAGAUUUAAGAGGGGGGUAAGGGGGAAAGUUCUAAUUACGAAAUUCUAACGAAUCUUCUCGGUCUUGGUUGCUCUUCUCGAAGAGGUCGAUCCAUACCGUUGAUGUUUCCAUUCCUAUGCAUCAUGAUGAAGUUGUUGUCCUUUCUUCGGGGGUUCCAUCGUACUUACGAAAGAAUAAGGGGUAUUCCGGGAGAACGAACCUCUACAAGGUUGACUAUCUGGUCGAUAUCAUCGGGGAAGGUGGCAGAAAGUAACUCUCGAAUUGAAACUUAAGAAAUUAUCGAGAGCAAAGUAAUGAGGUUUCAUGGGAAGUUUCGAGCGAGCAGGCAACCAUUCGAUGCCUGAAACAGGGCGUGAAAGGGCUCAAACCAAUCAGGAAUAAGUAUUGCGUUUCAUACCAGAAUUGAUGAUCUCUGGAAGGUGGCUCGUGAAUUACAUACGAAGCCAAGCGUGAGGAAUAACUUUGGAAACAGGUGGUGUACAGGAGAGUCAGGUUUCGAUCCUGUGAAACUGUGGGUUAUGGGCCCACCAUGUGGAUUAACAGUAGGAAGGGCGGUGACGUCUUGCACGACCAUAUAAGCAUGGCAAGUCAGAGGAUAGUCUGUCGGUUAUGUCGGCAACAACAUCGGUACCAAUGGCGAGGGACGAAGAGAACCAUUUCCCCGCUCGUUGAACGAGGCGGACCAGUAGGCAAAGUUCUCGUCCAUCGGUGUCUGUCGGAAUGUUAUCAAUAACGGUAACAGGGUCUUGCUAACAGAAUUGUACACCGUGGUGUUUACAUAAGCAGGAGAAUAUUUCUGCUUGGAUCAUAUAGAUCACUAGAAAGGUUAAACCAAACAAUGGAAAGGAAAAUGUGAUUAUCAGAUUAAACAGAACAAUGGAAAGGAAAACUAUGUUAAACACAUAUUUCAGGGAUAUAUCCUUCCGAAGGACAAGCGGAGCAUGAUAUCCAUGACAUGAUAGAAAGUAGAAAACCAUUUAGGUAAGGGGGGAAGGAAUUUCAUGACAUUACCCAUACAACGGUGUUUUGGAUAUUUGAUAAAGAAAAGAUAGCAUUGCUUCAACUGUUCUUAUUGAAGAUCGGAGUACCACCGACAUGCUUCGAGAUAGCACUAACAUGGUCUUCAAGCAAAGGUCGAUCUUUGCAUACGCAAAGGAUUCAUCAGGAACAACUCAUAAAAUAAGUCUUACAAUUUCCACACGGAAGAAUGACUAACCUUGCCAAAAAGGAAACUAUAACAAUAGGUCCUCCGGCCAGGUGUGCUGGACAUGCCAUCACCUUACCGGGUCAUAAAAGACCAAUGUUUUAACUCUUGGAAAUGUCCCAACCAUCAUAUCUGACCGAGGUUCAGAUCCGAUUGGUGUCAGGAUACCUCUGACUUAGGAUGCCAGAGAAGAAAAGGUGCAACACAAAUGACGAGAAGACACUGUAAGAUUCUCGGGAAAUGUACAAUGGAAGCAAGUUCCGAAGCAAGAGUUCAUCAUUAAUCCAAGGAGAGAUGAGGAGGUGGCUGAAGGAUUCAGCAACAUUUCGUCAAGAUAUCCAAAAAGAUGGCUUUCCAUAGUCAUGUGAACAAGGAGAUAACAUUUGUCAAAUCAAAUGAUAUAAUGGUGUGCUAGAGGAAAGCAUACACAAUUAAACAUUGAUCGAAAAGUGCAUCCAAAAUAUGGACUAAGUAACACGAUCAGUGUUAGAAUGAUGAGUCAAUAAUCAACACAUGAAGAAAGAAACUAUCAUUCGUAACUUACAAGCAAUAGGGUUGCUAGAAGUUUUGAAUUCAUAAUUCAUAGUUCAUUUUUCAGCAUUCCGGUUAUAAAUAACACGGGGACCAAGAAGGAAUGGUGAUGGUGAGAAGCAUCACUUGUAUCAGGAAUUCUCAAGAGGUGAUAAAAUUCUCACGACAUUCUUGACAUAGAAGAUGGCAAUACUCCAAGGUAAAGGAGAACAAAUGUUGGAUAGCAAGGUAUAACACAAAACACGAACAAGUUUGUGUUGGGGGAAGGUAAGAAUGUUGUCGAUGAUUACACAAAUCAUCGACGGGCAAGGAUGGUAUUUCCCAUCAUGAAUUCGAUUGAUAUCUUGGAAGAGCUCGGAAUGCUGAUGAUGAUCACGACACAUUUGUCAAGAGAUUCCAUGAAGAUGUAAUCGAUCGGUGAUGACAUCAAGUCAAAGGAAUGAUGAAGCGAAAGGUUAUUGGAACCACGUAUACGACACAAACUCGAAAUCAAGCUUGCUAUUCAAGGCGAAAUGCUAUGACGAGUAAAGUCGACAUAAGCUCAGGUCAUCGUCGAAAAUUGUGCUCCGGGAAUAAAGAGCACAUAGCACAGUUAAAAUUUAGCAUGAUAAUGAUAUAGCCGACCAGGCUAGGAAUGACUUAAAGGAUUAAUAAACUCAUAAGCAACGAAGAUUACUUAGAGUUAUUGAACCGUAGUGCAGACUCGGUUCACAUAUCGGUGUUCCCGGUUAACGACAACCCAGAACCUAGGAAAAUUGGAAUCGGUGAGAAAUAAAAGUUGAUGAAGAACCCAUAAAAGUUAUGCAGUUCCAUGAUAUUUUCGAGAUACCAGAGUGUAAUACUCGAUGGUAGAUCAAAGUAAAGGUUGGACAGGUGCAAAGAUCUGCAGAAGACAAGUACUUCAACUUGUCCGAGAAAUGGUAUUUAAAGGAGAACAUGGCCGGAACAACGAUUGCAAAAUGCCAGAUCCCAGAUAUAAGAUAAACUUAUACCAAGGAAAUAUUUAUUUGAAGAUAAGCUUUAAUGAUACGAUCUACAUUGUUUCCAUGGGCAUGAACACAAAGGUUCAAGGUCGACUCCCACUUCCUCAAUGCAUAAUCUUACAUUGACCUCUCGUAUUUCAAAAAUGACAUUAGUUGUGGAAAGUUUUACCUGGUGCAAUACCAAAUAAGUAUGACCCGUGAAAUCUUUCGGGUUUGUACAUAUUAGGGAAGGCAUUGGUUCAACCCAUUGGGGCUUCUUAGGAACAUAUACCACAAGCUUCAAGAGUAAAUAUCACCAGCUCGAAAGCAGAGCAUGGUUGACAAAAGGAGAGGAUACCAUUUACCAAAGGCAUUAUGUAUCAGAGAAAGAACUCACAAGGUGAUUAAUUAUGAAGGACAUUGUCAGAUAAUAAUCCAGCAGUGGAUAUGGCGAUCCACAAUGGAGCUGAUGUGACUAUCGAUACCCAAUCAGAGGAAGAAAGAAUGCAAUGCAUCGGUUUAUAGAACAUCUGAAUAAUUCAACGUUUAAUUAGCAAAGGAAUUAUGAUUUUCAAAUCAAGGGAUCAGGAGCAAAUGCUCUGAUCAAGGAUGGAUAAGUUGAAUAGACUUAGGGGUACAAUCGAUGGCAAUCUGAUUGGCCGAGAACCAGCCCAUGUUCGAAAGACGUCUGAGCCGGAAAGGUAAUUUAUCAGGAUCAACUGAUGAUUGCGUGCAUUCGCGCACAUAUAGAAUCAACGGACUUAAAAUGAUAGUGACAAAGGAUGCCAAUAAGAUUACUAGACUUAUGGGAUUAACCAUAAUGCAAGCAAGCAAGAAUUUCAAGAGCAAUAGGCUACUCAGGAUUUUCGGAAGUUCGAAUAUUAUUUUGAAGAACUUAGUGAAACACACAAACAACUAGGGAUGGGCGGAUACUCGGUAAGUCUGAGAAAUUAUCCAUAGCGGUGUAUAUGUGGAUAAUGAACUGCAAGGCAGUAGGUACAAAGUAUUCUCGGAAUAAUAGAGAGAAUUUCCGAGGUAUCUUGUAAUAACAAGAUCAACUGGGAAUGAAGUUAUGGACAACAAGUGUAUGUAGCUUUCCAUAGGGAAUUAUCGGUGGUAUGGAAUUGCAACGGCGAAGGGCACAAUGGUCUCGGGGAAACAUCGGAGAGUAUUGUCAGAAUCUUCUGUUGAAGCGGUCGAUCAUCUGUAAUGAAGGGGCUCUCUGGCAGGAAGUGAUAACGAGAACCUAGAGUUAGAUUUCAGCAAAAUCAUUUAACCCGAAUAGAAUAGAGAUUAGAAUCCCAGAGUAUGGACGAGGAAUAAAAGAUCCUAAUACCACCCAAUGGCCACGUGGGCCUAGGGGCCGCACAGCCAAGUUAGUAAAACAGUUUUCGGCUUCUAGACUCAACUUCGGCCAAGGAGUUGGAAAGGGGAUUCCUACAGGCAGUCGGCUCUGAUACCAACUUGUGACGCCCCCGAUUCAAUUGUACACUAAUCAUACACGCAAACGUGUACGAUCAAGAUCAGGGACUCACGGGAAGAUAUAACAACACAACUCUACAAAUAAAAUAAGUCAUACAAGCAUCAUAAUACAAGCCAGAGGCCUCGAGGGCUCGAAUACAAGUGCUCGAUCAUAGAUGAGUCAGCGGAAGCAACAAUAUCUGAGUACAGACAUAAGUUAAACAAGUUGACAUAAGAUGGCUAGCACAAACUGGGAUACAUAUCGAAAGAGGCGCAGGCCUCCUGCCUGGGAUCCUCCUAAACUACUCCUGGUCGUCGUCAGCGGGCUGCAUGUAGUAGUAGGCACCUCCGGUGUAGUAGUCGUCGUCGACGGUGGCGUCUGACUCCUGGGCUCUAACAUCUGGUUGCGACAACCAGGUAGAAAGGAAAGGGGGGGAAAGCGGGAGAAAGCAACUGUGAGUACUCAUCCAAAGUACUCGCAAGCAAGGAGCUAUACUACAUAUGCAUGGGUAUAUGUGUAAAGGGGCAUAUCAGUGGACUGAACUGCAAAAUGCCAGAAUAAGAAGGGGAUAACUAAUCCUGUUUAAGACUAUGCUUCUGGCAGCCUCCGUCUUGCAGCAUGAAGAAGAGAGUAGACUGAAGUCCUCCAAGUAGCAUCGCAUAGCAUAAUCCUACUCGGCGAUCCUCUCCUCGUCGCCCUGUUAGAGAGCGAUCACCGGGUUGUAUCUGGCACUUGGAAGGGUGUGUUUUACUAAGUAUCCGGUUCUAGUUGUCAUAAGGUCAAGGUACAACUCCAAGUCGUCAUGUUACCGAAGAUCACGGCUAUUCGAAUAGAUUAACUUCCCUGCAGGGGUGCACCACAUAACCCAACACGCUUGAUCCCAUUUGGCCGGACACACUUUUCGGGGUCAUGCCCGGCCACGGAAGAUCAACACGUCGCAGCCCCACCUAGGCACAACAGAGAGGUCAGCACGCCGGUCUAAACCUAAGCGCACAGGGGUCUGGGCCCAUCGCCCUUAGCACACCUGCACGUUGCGAACGCGACCGGAAGCAGAACUAGCCCCCUUAAUACAAGAGCAGGCUUACGUUCCAAUCCGGCGCGCGCCACUCAGUUGCUGACGUCACGAAGGCUUCGGCUGAUACCACGACGUCGAGUGCCCAUAACUGUUCCCGCGUAGUUGGUUAGUGCGUAUAGGCCAGUAGCCAGACUCAGAUCAAAUACCAAGAUCUCGUUAAGCGUGUUAAGUAUCCGCGAACGCCGAACAGGGCCAGGCCCACCUGUCUCCUAGGUGGUCUCAACCUGCCCUGUCGCUCCGCCACAAAGUAACAGUCGGGGGCCGUCGGGAACCCAGGUCCACCUCUACCGGGUUGGAGCCACCUGUCCUUUCAGCCCCCUCAUUAGAAUCACUUGCGGGUACUCAAUGAGCUGACCCGACUUUAGUCACCAUCUGUAUAGUAUGUAUGUAUGUAUAGUAUAUACCCGUGAUCACCUCCCGAGUGAUCACGGUCCAAUAGUAUAGCAAGGCAGACUGACAAGAAUGUAGGUCCAAUGAUGAUAAACUAGCAUCCUAUACUAAGUAUCUAGGAUUGCCGGUAAGGUAUCAACAGAUGUAGCAACAAUGUCAGGCUAUGCAUCAGAAUAGGAUUAACGGAAAGUAGUAACAUGCUACACUACUCUAAUGCAAGCAGUAUAGAGGAGAAGAGGCGAUAUCUGGUGAUCAAGGGGGGGCUUGCCUGGUUUCUCUGGCAAGGAGGGGCCGGCAACUCCGUAGUCGAACUGGGGGGUCGUCGACAGUCUCGGGGUCUACCGGAAAGUAGUAACGGAGGGGGAACACAAUAAAUAACUGAGCAAUCAAAGUAUCACAAAGCGUAGCAUGUUAAUACGCGGUGCUAGAGGUGACCUAACGUGGUAGUAGGUGAUACCGGCGAAGGGGGGAAACAUCCGGGAAAGUAUCCCUGGAGUUUCACGUUUUCAGACAGAUGAACCGGAGGGGAAAGUUGCGUGAUUGCUAUGCUAGGGAGGUGUGGUGGACGAACGGGCUGCGUAACCGGAUUCGUCUCAUCGUUCUGAGCAACUUUCAUGUACAAAGUUUUUCCAUCCGAGCUACGAAUUAUUUUAUAUUAAUUUUUAAAGAUUUUAAAUCAUUUUCUAGAAAUUAGCAUAAUUAAAUUAAUUCAGAAAUUGCAAUUAUGAUGUCAGCAUGACAUCAGCAUGAUGAUGAGGACAUCAAUACCAUUGUUACACCCACAGCCCCUACUGCUACAUAUACGGGACCAAUUACUAGAGCUCGCGCACGCCAAUUAAAUUAUCAGGUACUUUCGUUUCUUGGUAAUGAUUCUAAUGUUCAUGAGAAUAUGAUGCUGCCUAAAUUGGAUACAUUUGUUUUGCAUACAAAUGAAGGGCCUAGCUUGGAGAAGGAUGAACAUUGGAGCAAGAACAAGCAUGGAGAUGAUGCCAUGCGCAAGGGGAACAAGAACGGAGUUACAAGUGAUGAUUUCAGGACUUUGAAGCCACCAUAAUGGGUGCAUGAAGCCUUGGACGAAAUAUACAAGAUGCCACUUCAUAAAUUUCGUCCCAAGGCUAUUAUAGGUGCUGCGUCACCUUUUUAUUGGGCCAGGCCCAUGUAAUUUCGAAAUACAUAAGUAUAGGCUAUUUUUAGAGUCCGUAUGUGUGGGGAAACAAGAGAUAGGGUUGAUUUCGGACCCCUCCACCAAGGGCCACGAAAUUCCCCCUCUCUUCCUCCAUAUAUAUAGCCCUUAGGGCACCGUUUAGACUUUGGGUUUUGUUUAGAUUAAAAGUUCGCCAUAGCUGCAACUUCGCGUACUUCGUUUGUGUUCAACGACCAGACAAAGGCGUCACAGAACCCCACCUUGAUCAGUAAAGCUUUCAUCUUAUAUUCGCAAUAUCCAGAUUGCAAUCUCAGUUUAUUGCUUGUUCUUCGUUUGCUCGCAGGAAACAGACCCUCGUGGUCAGGUUGAUCGUGCUCCAGCGUGGUCAAUAACCUCUCGGAGUUGGUUUAGCGAUUGCUAAGGCGCGACGUCCUCGCACGUUCGUAGUCGGAUCGUCAAAGUCGACUGCCACCAAAGCGAUAUCCAUCAUCUCCUCGAAAGACGGGACACCUUUGCCUCUAUCAAGUGGUAUCAGAUUUCUAGGUUGCUCGGUGAGAUUUUACAGUUUUUCGUAGUUUAGAUCGAGUCUGUUCUUCAUACCUAUAGUCCACGAAAAAGCCAAAAAAAUUAGGGUUAGUUCAUCCCAUCCGAACCAAUCUGAGCCUUUGCAUAAUCUUUUCUGUAUUUGCUUUGUUGAAUUUGCGGUUGCAUCAUCGUGUCAAGUUGCUGGUCUUAGCGUCUAGUCUUUUAGAGUUUUGAGUUCUGUUCACAGGUUGUCACGUUGCCACUGCCAUAUAUCACCACCGCAUCAUCAUCGUCGUUGUUGCCAUAUACCACCACCACAUAUUCACCGCCAAUCCGAAUCCAUAUACGCCACCACAUGUCUGCCGCCGUCACGCCAAUCCGAGUUCACCUGCAACAUAUAUCCGCCACCUGUCCUUGUUCCACCAGAUUCAUCUCCGCCACCAUUCCGAGUUCCACCAGAUUCAUCUCCGCCACCAGUCCUAGUCCGAGUCCAGUAAUUGUUGCUUUGUUCUCGAUUUCCAGAUCACGCGAUACUCCGAGUCAUGACAGAGAAGGACUCCCCAACUUCCGAGUCAUCCGCAGAAGAAAAAUAGUUCCAAUUUCAAAAAAAACGAAGUCUGGAAAAUUCUGGCUAGGCAGUUUUUAGACCAUUUGUAGACUUUUUCGAAAAAAAAAUUGUUGCGGAGCAAAAAAAAGAGAAAAAAAAAUUCAGAGUGUACUCUUCCCUUGUUUACGUGCCGCGCCGUGAUUUUGUUGGUGUUCUAGGAUCGCGUCUCUAGCACAGUCUAGCCUAGGACCAGCACAGUACCGUCAUUGAGCGUUUAUUCAACUUUGCAUCUCUGAAUUGAUUAUUGCUGACCCUUUUUGCUACCAUAUUAUAAGCCUUCCCAGCUCCACAUACAUCUACGUCGUGCGUUUGACUCUCCUUGGUAAUCGCUCUAUCCAAGCUUUGAGAGUUUUUGACUACAACGGUUGCCGAUCACCGCCUGCUGCUGGGUAAGAACUGGUAAGAAUUUGAGAUUUGCUUGACGGAUUUGUGACACCCACCACCACCUCUUGUUAGUAGUCUGUAGGAUCAUAUUCUUGUGUGUUUCUAUUGCUGCUAACCAUGCCAGGAUCACAAGCCGAUGAGACUGACUGGGAGAACAUGACGAAUAAGGAUUUGCAUGAUAAAUUUCAGCAAAUGAUGAGUGGACAGGUGCAAGAUGUGCUAAAUAGAUUUGAAGAGGCCAUGGAGAAGAUAGAUGGCAUGGAGAAGACGUUCGAAACAAAGCUCGAUAACAAGUUUAAUGAAUUGCUCGCGCGUCUUCCACCACCACCACCCGCUGCACCUAACGCACCUCUCCAACAACAACAACAAUGACUACCUCCACGUCGCGAAACAGACCUUCGCCGAGCAGCCGUGUUCCUCUUGCGUUUGGCCAAACUGUUGGUGCUGCUGUUGAUACUUCUAUGGCUCCUGCUGCUAAUGCGGAGGAGGAUGAUUAUGUGGGAGAUUAUGAGGAUGAGGUCGAUCAAAAUCAGCACUACGUGCAGCCACCUGCACCACCACCAGCAGGUCGACCUCAGGUAUAUAUUCGUAAUGGUAGGCCUGCACCACCACCUCAGGUACGAGAUGAUGUCCAUAUUCCUAAACUGAAAUUGAAUAUUCCACCAUUUGAGGGUAGAUAUGUUCCUGAUAUAUAUCUUACUUGGGAGUUAGAAACUAAACAACGAUUUACAUGUUUACAAUAUCCUGAGGAGAGACGAGUUGCUGUUGCUGUUUGUGCUUUCACUAGUUUUGCAUGUGUAUGGUGGUCUGAACAUUGUAGAUUAUAUCCUAUUCCAACUACUUGGGCUGCUUUGAAAACUGCUAUGCGUACGCGUUGGGUUCCACCAUAUUAUCAACGUGAAUUGCUUCAAAAAUUGCAGCGUUUAAGACAAGGGAAAAAUUCUGUAGAAGAAUAUUAUCAGGAAUUACAAACUGGCAUGAUUAGAUGUGGUAUUGUUGAGGAGAAUGAAGCUAUGCUUGCACGUUUUGUGGGUGGAUUAAAUAGAGAGAUUCAGACCAUUCUAGACUAUAAGGAGUAUACUAAUAUCACUCGUUUAUUCCAUCUUGCUUGUAAAGCUGAACGUGAAGUGCAGGAUCGACAAGCAUUGGGGCGAACUAACUUUUCUGCAGGCCGACCUUCAUCAUGGACACCACGUGCAUCUUCUACUUCAACUGCACCAGCACCUCCAUCCGGUGCCACCUCCAGCCGUGAUACAAGAAAACAGGCACAACCACCAUUAUCUGCCAAGAGCACACCUGCGGGGCCUGCACAGCGUUCUUCUUCUUCCAUGGCAUCAACAGGGCACACAAGUGAUAUUAUUUGUCGUCGUUGUAAGGGAGGAGGUCAUUAUGCGAGAGAAUGCAAAUCUCCGCGUGUGAUGAUUGCUACCGCGGAUGGUGGAUAUGAGUCCGCUAGUGACUAUGAUGAGGAGACUUUGGCUCUUAUUACACGUGAAGAACAUGUGAUGAGGACAUCAAUACAAUUGUUACACCCACAGCCCCUGCUGCUAUACAUACUGGACCAAUUACUAGAGCUCGUGCACGCCAACUAAAUUACCAGGUACUUUCGUUUCUUGGUAAUGAUUCUAAUGUUCAUGAGAAUAUGAUGCUGCCUAAAUUGGAUACAUUUGUUUUGCUUACAAAUGAAGGGCCUAGCUUGGAGAAGGAUGAACAUUGGAGCAAGAACAAGCAUGGAGAUGAUGGCAUGCGCAAGGGGAACAAGCACGGAGUUACAAGUGAUGAUUUCAGGACUUUGAAGCCACCAUAAUGGGUGCAUGAAGCCUUGGACGAAAUAUACAAGAUGCCACUUCAUAAAUUUCGUCCCGAGGCUAUUUUAGGUGCUGCGUCACCUUAUUAUUGGGCCAGGCCCAUGUAAUUUCGAACUACAUAAGUAUAGGCUAUUUUUAGAGUCCGUAUGUGUGGGGAAACAAGAGAUAGGGUUGAUUUCGGACCCCUCCACCAAGGGCCACGAAAUUCCCCCCUCUUCCUCCAUAUAUACAGCCCUUAGGGCAUCGUUUAGACUUUGGGUUUUGUUUAGAUUAAAAGUUUGCCAUAGCUGCAACUUCGCGUACUUCGUUUGUGUUCAACGACCAGACAAAGGCGUCACAGAACCCCACCUUGAUCAAUAAAGCUUUCAUCUUAUAUUCGCAAUAUCCAGAUUGCAAUCUCAGUUUCUUGCUUGUUCUUCAUUUGCUCGCAGGAAACAGACCCUCGUGGUCAGGUUGAUCGUGCUCCGGCGUGGUCAAUAACCUCUUGGAGUUGGUUUAGCGAUUGCUAAGGCGCGACGUCCUCGCACGUUCGUAGUCGGAUCGUCAAAGUCGACUGCCACCAAAGCGAUAUCCAUCAUCUCAUCGAAAGACGGGACACCUUUGCCUCUAUCAAGUGGUAUCAGAUUUCCAGGUUGCUCGGUGAGAUUUUACAGUUUUUCGUAGUUUAGAUCGAGUCUGUUCUUCAUACCUACAGUCCACGAAAAAGCCACAAAAAAAAUUUAGGGUUAGUUCAUCAUAUCCGAACCAAUCUGAGCCUUUGCAUAAUCUUUUUAGGGUUUUGCUUUGUUGAAUUUGCGGUUGCAUCGUCGUGUCUAGUUGCUGGUCUUAGAGUCUAGUCUUUUAGAGUUUCGAGUUCUGGUCAUAAGUUGUCACGCCGCCGCCGCACCAUCAUCAUCGCCCCUGCCAUCUACCACCACCGUUUAUCCGCCACCGCUUCGAAUCCGUAUCCAUAUACCACCACAGCUGUCAAAUACCACCACCUCAGGUACGAGAUGAUGUCCAUAUUCCUAAACUGAAAUUGAAUAUUCCACCAUUUGAGGGUAGAUAUGUUCCUGAUAUAUAUCUUACUUGGGAGUUAGAAACUGAACAACGAUUUACAUGUUUACAAUAUCCUGAGGAGAGACGAGUUGCUGCUGCUGUUUGUGCUUUCACUAGUUUUGCAUGUGUAUGGUGGUCUGAACAUUGUAGAUUAUAUCCUAUUCCAACUACUUGGGCUGCUUUGAAAACUGCUAUGCGUACGCGUUGGGUUCCACCAUAUUAUCAACGUGAAUUGCUUCAAAAAUUGCAGCGUUUAAGACAAGGGAAAAAUUCUGUAGAAGAAUAUUAUCAGGAAUUACAAACUGGCAUGAUUAGAUGUGGUAUUGUUGAGGAGAAUGAAGCUAUGCUUGCACGUUUUCUGGGUGGAUUAAAUAGAGAGAUUCAGACCAUUCUAGACUAUAAGGAGUAUACUAAUAUCAAUCGUUUAUUCCAUCUUGCUUGUAAAGCUGAACGUGAAGUGCAGGAUCGACAAGCAUUGGGGCGAACUAACUUUUCUGCAGGCCGACCUUCAUCAUGGACACCACGUGCAUCUUCUACUUCAACUGCACCAGCACCUCCAUCCGGUGCCACCUCCAGCCGUGAUACAAGAAAACAGGCACAACCACCAUUAUCUGCCAAGAGCGCACCUGCGGGGCCUGCACAGCGUUCUUCUUCUUCCAUGGCAUCAACAUGGCACACAAGUGAUAUUAUUUGUCGUCGUUGUAAGGGAGGAGGUCAUUAUGCGAGAGAAUGCAAAUCUCCGCGUGUGAUGAUUGCUACCGCGGAUGGUGGAUAUGAGUCCGCUAGUGACUAUGAUGAGGAGACUUUGGCUCUUAUUACACGUGAAGAACAUGGUGGAGAUGAUUCUGAUCAUGAGACGCAAUACAUGGCUCCUGAAGACGCUGACAGGUAUGAAUGUUUAGUUGCUCAACGUGUUUUGAGUGUGCAGGUCACACAAGCUAAGCAAAAUCAGAGGCACAAUUUGUUCCAUACCAAGGGAGUUGUGAAGGAACGUUCUGUGCGCGUCAUCAUAGACGGAGGGAGCUGCAACAACUUGGCUAGCAUGGAGAUGGUGGAGAAGCUUUCUCUCACCACAAGACCACAUCCACAUCCUUACUACAUCCAAUGGUUCAACAACAGCGGCAAGGUUAAGGUAACACAUACUGUUCGUGUGCAUUUUAGUAUCUCUACAUAUGUUGAUUAUGUUGAUUGUGAUGUGGUACCUAUGCAAGCAUGUUCCUUAUUACUUGGUAGACCAUGGCAAUUUGAUAAAAAUUCUGUACACCAUGGUAGAAACAAUCACUAUACUCUUGUUCAUAAGGAUAAAAAUAUUACUUUGCUUCCUAUGACUCCUGAUUCCAUUUUGAAAGAUGAUAUUAAUAGAGCUAAUAAAGCAAAGGAGACAAAUAAGAGUGAAAAUCAGAUUGUGGCAAAAGAAUUUGAGCAACAAAUGAAGCCUAAUAAUAAACCAUCUAGUGUUGCUUCUGAAAUUAAAUUGAAAAGUGCAUGUUUAUUUGCCACCAAAUCUGAUAUUGAUGAGCUAGAUUUCAGCAAAUCUGUUUGCUAUGCUUUUGUGUGCAAAGAGGCAUUAUUUUCAUUCGAGGACGUGCCUUCCUCUUUGCCUCCUGCUGUCACUAACAUUUUGUAGGAGUUCGCUGACGUCUUUCCACAAGACGUGCCACCGGGAUUACUGCCUAUUCGAGGGAUUGAGCAUCAGAUUGACUUAAUUCCCGGUGCUUCACUGCCAAACCGUGCACCAUACCGUACCAAUCCAGAGGAGACAAAGGAGAUUAUGCGUCAAGUACAAGAGCUUCUCGACAAAGGUUUUAUACGCGAAUCCCUUAGUCCUUGUGCUGUUCCUAUUAUUCUAGUGCCGAAAAAGGAUGGUACAUCACGUAUGUGUGUUGAUUGUAGAGGCAUUAAUAAUAUUACUAUUCGUUAUCGUCAUCCUAUUCCUAGGCUAGAUGAUAUGCUUGAUGAAUUGAGUGGCUCUACAAUAUUCUCCAAAGUUGAUUUGCGUAGUGGAUACCAUCAAAUUCGUAUGAAAUUGGGAGAUGAAUGGAAAACAGCAUUCAAAACUAUGUUUGGAUUAUAUGAGUGGUUAGUCAUGCCUUUUGGGUUAACUAAUGCACCUAGUACUUUCAUGAGAUUAAUGAACAAAGUUUUACGUGCUUUCAUUGGACGAUUUGUGGUAGUUUACUUUGAUGACAUAUUGAUUUAUAGUAGAUCUUUGGAAGAACAUUUGGAACAUUUACGUGCUGUUUUUAUUGCUCUACGUGAUGCACGUUUGUUUGGUAACCUUGGGAAGUGCACCUUUUGCACCGACCGAGUAUCUUUUCUUGGCUAUGUUGUUACUCCACAGGGAAUUGAAGUUGAUAAAGCCAAGAUUGAAGCUAUUGAGAGUUGGCGCAACCCAAAACGGUCACACAAGUGAGGAGUUUUCUUGGCCUCACUGGAUUCUAUAGGCGUUUUGUGAGAGAUUUCAGCACCAUUGCUGCACCUCUCAAUGAGCUUACAAAGAAAGAUGUGCCUUUUCUUUGGGGUACCGCACAGGAAGAAGCCUUCUCGGUAUUGAAAGAUAAGUUGACACAUGCUCCUUUACUCCAACUUCCUGAUUUUAAUAAGACUUUUGAGCUUGAAUGUGAUGCUAGUAGAAUUGGAUUAGGCGGUGUGUUAUUACAAGAUGGCAAACCUGUUGCAUACUUUUCUAAAAAAAUGAGUGGGCCUAGUCUGAAUUAUUCUACUUAUGAUAAAGAAUUAUAUGCUCUUGUUCGGACUUUAGAAACAUGGCAACAUUAUUUAUGGCCCAAAGAAUUUGUUAUACAUUCUGAUCAUGAAUCUUUGAAACAUAUUAAAAGUCAAGCUAAACUGAAUCAUAGACAUGCUAAAUGGGUUGAAUUCAUUGAGACUUUUCCUUAUGUCAUUAAACACAAGAAGGGAAAAGAAAAUGUUAUUGCUGAUGCAUUGUCUCGCCGCUAUACUAUGCUUUCACAACUUGACUUCAAAAUAUUUGGUUUGGAGACCAUCAAAGAUCAAUAUGUGCAUGAUGCUGAUUUUAAAGAUGUAAUGCAGAAUUGUAAAGAAGGAAGAAUGUGGAACAAGUUCGUCGUUAACGAUGGAUUUGUGUUUCGUGCUAACAAGCUAUGCAUUCCAGCUAGCUCCGUUCGUCUUUUGUUGUUGCAGGAGGCGCAUGGAGGAGGAUUAAUGGGACACUUUGGCGUGAAGAAGAUGGAGGACAUACUUGCUACACAUUUCUUUUGGCCAAAGAUGAGACGGGAUGUUGAGCGUUUUAUUGCUCGAUGCACUACAUGUCAAAAAGCUAAGUCACGACUCAAUCCUCAUGGUUUAUAUAUGCCUUUGCCUAUACCUAGUGUUCCUUGGGAGGAUAUAUCUAUGGACUUUGUUUUAGGUUUACCUCGAACAAAGAAGGGGAGGGAUAGCAUAUUUGUUGUCGUGGAUAGAUUCUCGAAAAUGGCACACUUUAUACCAUGUCAUAAAAGCGAUGAUGCUGUUAAUGUUGCUGAUUUGCUCUUUCGUGAAAUUAUUCGCUUGCAUGGUGUGCCAAAUGCUAUUGUUUUAGAUCGUGAUACUAAAUUUCUUAGCCACUUUUGGAAAUGUUUAUGGGCUAAGUUGGGGACUAAACUGCUUUUUAGUACUACUUGUCACCCCCAAACUGAUGGACAAACUGAAGUAGUCAAUAGAACGUUGUCUACUAUGCUUAGGGCUAUUUUGAAGAAUAAUAAGAAAAUGUGGGAGGAAUGCUUGCCUCAUAUUGAAUUUGCUUAUAAUCGUUCAUUGCAUUCUACUACUAAGAUGUGCCCUUUUGAAGUUGUGUAUGGUUUCCUACCUCGUGCACCUAUUGAUUUGUUGCCUCUUCCAUCUUCGGAGAAGGUUAAUUUUGAUGCUAAACAACGUGCUGAAUUGAUUUUAAAAAUGCAUGAGUUAACUAAGGAAAACAUUGAGCGUAUGAAUGCUAAAUAUAAACUUGCUGGAGAUAAGGGUAGAAAACAUGUUGUGUUUGCACCUGGAGAUCUUGUUUGGUUACAUUUGCGUAAGGAUAGAUUUCCUGAUUUGCGCAAAUCAAAGCUAAUGCCACGUGCUGAUGGUCCCUUUAAGGUGUUAGAGAAAAUAAAUGAUAAUGCAUAUAAACUUGAGCUGCCUGCAGAUUUUGGGGUUAGUCCCACUUUUAACAUUGCAGAUUUGAAGCCUUAUUUGGGUGAGGAAGAUGAGUUUCCGUCGAGGACGACUUCAUUUCAAGAAGGGGAGGAUGAUGAGGACAUCAAUACCAUUGUUACACCCACAGCCCCUACUGCUACAUAUACAGGACCAAUUACUAGAGCUCACGCACGCCAAUUAAAUUAUCAGGUACUUUCGUUUCUUGGUAAUGAUUCUAAUGUUCAUGAGAAUAUGAUGCUGCCUAAAUUGGAUACAUUUGUUUUGCUUACAAAUGAAGGGCCUAGCUUGGAGAAGGAUGAACAUUGGAGCAAGAACAAGCAUGGAGAUGAUGCCAUGCACAAGGGGAACAAGAACGGAGUUACAAGUGAUGAUUUCAGGACUUUGAAGCCACCAUAAUGGGUGCAUGAAGCCUUGGACCAAAUAUACAAGAUGCCACUUCAUAAAUUUCGUCCCGAGGCUAUUAUAGGUGCUGCGUCACCUUUUUAUUAGGCCAGGCCCAUGUAAUUUCGAAAUACAUAAGUAUAGGCUAUUUUUAGAGUCCGUAUGUGUGGGGAAACAAGAGAUAGGGUUGAUUUCGGACCCCUCCACCAAGGGCCACGAAAUUCCCCCUCUCUUCCUCCAUAUAUACAGCCCUUAGGGCACCGUUUAGACUUUGGGUUUUGUUUAGAUUAAAAGUUCGCCAUAGCUGCAACUUCGCGUACUUCGUUUGUGUUCAACGACCAGACAAAGGCGUCACAGAACCCCACCUUGAUCAAUAAAUCUUUCAUCUUAUAUUCGCAAUAUCCAGAUUGCAAUCUCAGUUUCUUGCUUGUUCUUCGUUUGCUCGCAGGAAACAGACCCUCGUGGUCAGGUUGAUCGUGCUCCGGCGUGGUCAAUAACCUCUCGGAGUUGGUUUAGCGAUUGCUAAGGCGCGACGUCCUCGCACGUUCGUAGUCGGAUCGUCAAAGUCGACUGCCACCAAAGCGAUAUCCAUCAUCUCAUCGAAAGACAGGACACCUUUGCCUCUAUCACAUGAUGUCUGCAGUACCAAAGGUUGACUAGGUCAACCCUGCAGGUGGGUCCCGUUCGCCAUAGUCUCAGGUUAAUUAAACAUGGUUAAUUUAUUUAACUAAAUGAUUAGGUUAAAUAAACAUCAUUAAUUAAGUUAUUUAUUUAUUUAUUUAUUUAACUAAUUAUUAUUAUUAUUCUUUUUAACGUUCCACCGGGGCGGGCCCCACAUGCCAGUAGCCCAGGAGGCCACUGGAGCGGGCGCUAGCGGGCACGCGGGUGCGGGCGCCCGGACUGGGCGCGGCUAGUCGGUGCCAUGCCAAGGGGAGGACGCCGGCGCGUCGCCAGCCGGUGCCGGCGAGGCCACGGCGGGGCGAGGAUGUGGUGAUGCAGGCGGUGUCGGGGCGCUAGGACGGUGCGUCAGGGCGGACGAGGCAAGGCCGGGGUGAGGUCGUGGGUUCAGGGGAGGGGGAGCAGCGAGGGAGGCUGGUGGCCGCGGCGAACUAGGCAGGACGCGGGGGUCUCCGAGCGGCGCAGUGGGACGAGGCCACCGUGGUGAUGGAGCGCACGCAGCCCGACUGGUCCUUGGCAUCGGCUGGAGCGGAGGAGGGCUCCGGCCAGGGCAAGGGACAGAGGCGGAGCGGUAUGGCGGACGAGCGUGGGCGCGCACUGGGCGGCCAAGACGCGUGGGGGGUGCAUGGUCAAGCGCGAUGACGGCGCGGGCACAACCCGCUGAGGCACGGCGAGCGCGGGAUAAAGGGGUGGGGAGGAGCGAGGCAAAGGCUCACUAGGGAGGUAGGGGUUCGUGCAGCGAGGGGUCGAGGAGGACGUCGGGGACGACGGUGACGAAGAGGAGGCAGGCCGUUGAGGAGGAGGAGGCAGUCCGGCGGGGGAAGCUCUNNNNNNNNNNNNNNNNNNNNNNNNNNNNNNNNNNNNNNNNNNNNNNNNNNNNNNNNNNNNNNNNNNNNNNNNNNNNNNNNNNNNNNNNNNNNNNNNNNNNNNNNNNNNNNNNNNNNNNNNNNNNNNNNNNNNNNNNNNNNNNNNNNNNNNNNNNNNNNNNNNNNNNNNNNNNNNNNNNNNNNNNNNNNNNNNNNNNNNNNNNNNNNNNNNNNNNNNNNNNNNNNNNNNNNNNNNNNNNNNNNNNNNNNNNNNNNNNNNNNNNNNNNNNNNNNNNNNNNNNNNNNNGAUCCCGAUCUAGAUCGGGGAUGGGGGAGAGAGACGAGAGAGUGGGGGUGGGGAUCGUGCGGGGGAAGUGAGAGGUGUCGGUGGGGGUUACGGGUUAGGGUUCGGUGGUGGGGAGGCCUAAGUAGGCCAGAGGCGUGGGCCGGCCUGGCUAGGCCAUGGCCCAGUUGGGCCAAGGGGUCCAGUGGGGGGAGGGGGGUAUUUGUCUCCCCCCCCCCAUUUUAUUUAUUUUUGGAUUUUGUUUUUAUUUAUUUUCUUUUAGUUAGUUUUCUUUUCUAUUUUGUCUUUGUUUCCUAUUGUUUUAUUUUUUUGUAAAAUAUAUACUUGGCAUCUAAUUUAGUAAUUCAAUUUAGGCCAUUGUCACAAAAAGUCUAGUCCUCAAAUAAUUUAGUUUGACAUUUUAUUAAUUACAAAAGGUAUUUAAAUAACUAUUUAUUCUGCUGUUUUAUUCAUCUGAUAGUAUUUAAACAUUUUAUAAAAGUGGGGUUUCUUCACCACAAUCACCUUUGCAUUAUUUAGCACGACUCGAACAUUUUAGUUUUAAAGUUUGAAAACUUUUGUUGUUUGUCUUUAUUUUAAAUUUGAAUUUGAAUCGUUUGUAAACCAUUGCGAGAUUAACUGAAGUGACAGCGGUGACAUGGCAUCAUUAGGAGAGGGUUACUGUAGCUUAAUUAUCCGGGCGUCACAAGAAGGUACUAAUCAGUACUAGUAUUUGUGUAAGUCAUCUUUUACUACUUGUUGUACUGCUCACCUUUUACUGCUUGUCAUACUGAUGAGCACUAGUACUGAUCGCUAACACAGAGAAUUUUUCAUCUAGUGGACUUUUAACAUUAUAUUAGAAAAAGUGAGCUACAAAAUAAACAACUAGAUUAGAAUAUAAGCAUUGUCUUAUAUUAGAAACGAUGAGCUACGAAAUAAACAACCAGAUGCGAAUUUGCUUCAAGUUAGUUUGCUAUUUUUUUUAAAUUUGAUGCAUGUUGCACUAUAGGACUGCUACUGGUUUGCAAGUUGGACCAGAGUACUUUUAAAUUGUUUGCAUAGUUUACUGCCGAAAUCUAAACCACAAAGGAACACAUCGGCAUUACCAAUCGUAUAUAGCAAAACUGAACUUUAUGCGUCUACUGUUGUUUCUACAGAGUGGACUUAUGUUUUCUUAUGUACUUGAACUAUUAAAGUUUUUUGAAAAUUGCCACUAUCACACAUGUUAUACUUGAAAACUCUUGCCAGACUAGGCACCCCCCAAAUCCUGCACAACAAAGCAUCCCCCAAGUGAAUUAUAGUAGCCUCUCUCUCUAUGUCUCUUUUUUGCAUCUCUCUCUCUCUAUGUAUCUCUUUGCAUCUAUGAGCAGUCCCCCGAAGAACUCCUGAACUUUCAGUUGGAUCAAACUCUAGAUUACAAUAAAAAUGGCCUUCAUGGAUGGCAGUAUGUGAACUGAAGAGUAGGAGAGGAGGAGCACGAAGGUGUUUCUCACCAAUCGUGUUCCCGAUGGCGUGGUGGAUGGCUAAAAUCCAUGGCUGAACAGGAGGUCAAGGCAUCACGGCAGGAACUCCAUGGGUACGUUUUCAUUACGAGGGUUUGCAUAUGGAUGAACUGACUGACACAUUUUUCUUGUACUGAACCUUGUUUGUACGCAAGCUUGUUUUCGAGAAAUUUAAGACAAUGCAAAUAUCAUGUACAAUAUGGGCAUGUAGUAAGUCCGAACUGAUCUUUUUGGCACUUUUUGCACCGAGGUAAUAGCAGUGAACCUGUGACAAAGAAUAGAAAUCAAAAAGAAAUUUUUUGGAGGGGGAAUAAGAUGUUGGAGAUCGAGUGGACCGGCUACACCCCCUCCUCUGGACUGAUUGCUCCGACAAAGUGGAGCUGAUGGAGGCGAAGAUCACGAGCGGCGCGAUUUCGCCACUGCAGGGAAUCCCAGUGACUACCAAGUCAUCCUUGCUGUUCCAGGAUGAUGUCCAGAGCACUAAGAUGGGGGUGGAGGAGCCGCGUCGUCGGAGGGAAUGGCGACUAGAGCAAAUGAGUUAGACAGAAGUUAUUUGAUUUCUAUUCCUGGUGGUGUUUAUUCCGCAAGGGCACCAGGGAUGACUAGAGCAAAUAAGUUCGGCAUGGGCACCAGGGAGGACUAGAGAAAAUAAGUUUAGCCAUCCCUACGGUGUUUAUUCAGGAUCCAGGCAAAGUAAAGUAGCAUAUGAUUUCGAAAUGGAUGGUUAUAGGUUUAGACAGAAGUUAAGUUUCAGCAAUGCCCUUGCGGCAAAGCAAAAUAAAAUGUAUCAUUUUGCCUCAAGACUCUACACAUUUAAAGCAUAAUGCAUUGAAAAUAACACAAAAGUUAAACUGAAAAUCAAAAUAAAAGUUGGGGUAGCAUGCCUGUGAGGAAGGAGGUCGAGGGCAGCAGGGUGCACAGUGGGCGAAGGACACACAAGGAAGAUGAGUUACCUUGUCGCUAGGCUGCGAGGCUACCUCCAUCAUGGAGGUCCUCGGGUUGGAGUGCAUCGGCAACGAGUGGUGGGGCUGUGAUAGGGGACAGGUUGGAGCGGUGGCCCUGCAGAGAUGAU
rnacentral:lncRNA from 1 species